rnacentral:rRNA from 1 species
CCUACGGGGGGCAGCAGUGGGGAAUAUUGGACAAUGGGGGCAACCCUGAUCCAGCCAUGCCGCGUGUGUGAAGAAGGCCCUCGGGUUGUAAAGCACUUUCAGUGAGGAAGAACGCCUGGUGGUUAAUACCCAUCAGGAAAGACAUCACUCACAGAAGAAGCACCGGCUAACUCCGUGCCAGCAGCCGCGGUAAUACGGAGGGUGCGAGCGUUAAUCGGAAUUACUGGGCGUAAAGCGCGCGUAGGUGGCUUGAUAAGCUGGUUGUGAAAGCCCCGGGCUCAACCUGGGAACGGCAUCCGGAACUGUCAAGCUAGAGUGCAGGAGAGGAAGGUAGAAUUCCCGGUGUAGCGGUGAAAUGCGUAGAGAUCGGGAGGAAUACCAGUGGCGAAGGCGGCCUUCUGGACUGACACUGACACUGAGGUGCGAAAGCGUGGGUAGCAAACAGGAUUAGAUACCCCUGUAGUC